rnacentral:rRNA from 1 species
AGAGUUUGAUCAUGGCUCAGGACGAACGCUGGCGGCGUGCCUAAUACAUGCAAGUAGAACGCUGAAGAGAGGAGCUUGCUCUUCUUGGAUGAGUUGCGAACGGGUGAGUAACGCGUAGGUAACCUGCCUUGUAGCGGGGGAUAACUAUUGGAAACGAUAGCUAAUACCGCAUAACAAUGGAUGACCCAUGUCAUUUAUUUGAAAGGGGCAAAUGCUCCACUACAAGAUGGACCUGCGUUGUAUUAGCUAGUAGGUGAGGUAACGGCUCACCUAGGCGACGAUACAUAGCCGACCUGAGAGGGUGAUCGGCCACACUGGGACUGAGACACGGCCCAGACUCCUACGGGAGGCAGCAGUAGGGAAUCUUCGGCAAUGGGGGCAACCCUGACCGAGCAACGCCGCGUGAGCGAAGAAGGUUUUCGGAUCGUAAAGCUCUGUUGUAAGUCAAGAACGAGUGUGAGAGUGGAAAGUUCACACUGUGACGGUAGCUUACCAGAAAGGGACGGCUAACUACGUGCCAGCAGCCGCGGUAAUACGUAGGUCCCGAGCGUUGUCCGGAUUUAUUGGGCGUAAAGCGAGCGCAGGCGGUUUGAUAAGUCUGAAGUUAAAGGCUGUGGCUCAACCAUAGUUCGCUUUGGAAACUGUCAAACUUGAGUGCAGAAGGGGAGAGUGGAAUUCCAUGUGUAGCGGUGAAAUGCGUAGAUAUAUGGAGGAACACCGGUGGCGAAAGCGGCUCUCUGGUCUGUAACUGACGCUGAGGCUCGAAAGCGUGGGGAGCGAACAGGAUUAGAUACCCUGGUAGUCCACGCCGUAAACGAUGAGUGCUAGGUGUUGGAUCCUUUCCGGGAUUCAGUGCCGCAGCUAACGCAUUAAGCACUCCGCCUGGGGAGUACGACCGCAAGGUUGAAACUCAAAGGAAUUGACGGGGGCCCGCACAAGCGGUGGAGCAUGUGGUUUAAUUCGAAGCAACGCGAAGAACCUUACCAGGUCUUGACAUCCCGAUGCUAUUUCUAGAGAUAGAAAGUUACUUCGGUACAUCGGUGACAGGUGGUGCAUGGUUGUCGUCAGCUCGUGUCGUGAGAUGUUGGGUUAAGUCCCGCAACGAGCGCAACCCCUAUUGUUAGUUGCCAUCAUUCAGUUGGGCACUCUAGCGAGACUGCCGGUAAUAAACCGGAGGAAGGUGGGGAUGACGUCAAAUCAUCAUGCCCCUUAUGACCUGGGCUACACACGUGCUACAAUGGUUGGUACAACGAGUUGCGAGUCGGUGACGGCAAGCUAAUCUCUUAAAGCCAAUCUCAGUUCGGAUUGUAGGCUGCAACUCGCCUACAUGAAGUCGGAAUCGCUAGUAAUCGCGGAUCAGCACGCCGCGGUGAAUACGUUCCCGGGCCUUGUACACACCGCCCGUCACACCACGAGAGUUUGUAACACCCGAAGUCGGUGAGGUAACCUUUUGGAGCCAGCCGCCUAAGGUGGGAUAGAUGAUUGGGGUGAAGUCGUAACAAGGUA